UACGGGGGGGGCAAGCGUUAUCCGGAAUCACUGGGCGUAAAGCGUGCGUAGGUGGCGUGUUAAGUGAGAUGUGAAAUCGUGUGGCUCAACCAUAUCGAUGUGUCUCAUACUGGCAUGCUAGAGGACGGCAGAGGCAAGUGGAACUCGUAGUGUAGCAGUGAAAUGCGUAGAUAUUACGAAGAACACCAAUGGCGAAGGCAGCUUGCUGGGCCACUCCUCAGCACUGAGGUACGAAAGCGUGGGGAGCGAACAGG
rnacentral:rRNA from 1 species